CGCGGCAAAGCAGAGGCAGGCAGCUAGGCACAAAGCAGCCGAGUUUGAAACUUCGAUUUUCCUGCUGCUGCCUAAAGCCUCACACGUGAAGAACAUUACCUUUGUGUAGCCAGGAGCCGAGCUGCAGUCUGACUGUGCAUGGUAGCUUCUGAUGUGGCAGCAUGAAUUCUCAGCUGGGCAGACUGUACCAUUCAUCUCGGGGUGAUUGUGCCAUUCUGAGGAGGUGGUACGGACUAUCCAUCCUCCCUGGGGAACAGCGGAAGCAUUUAGCAGAUGUGGGGUUUCUGGAAUUGUCCUUCUAAUAGCGUGGAGACAGCACGUGACUCAUGCCAACCAGCAACACCUUCGCGUUUGACUAUUUCGGGGAGGGACCGGAGGGCCUCAGUGGAGCUUUAGAUCUGCACCCCAGAUGUCCUGGACCCAGAGAAAAUGCAACAGACUCUCUUGCUAUCCAAAGCAUGUUCCUGGGAGAGCGAGUGAUGGGAAGCACCGCCUACAGGAAGCCACAGGCAGGACAGAGAUGAUGGAGGCUUGGCGCUUGCAGAGGGUCCAUGAUGUUCGGAGAUAGGGAAAUCAGGUCUGGUUCCUCACAAGGCUUGGAUGGCAGAACUUUGGUUGGGAGACUGAGGAUGCCUGGUGAAGACCCUGCACCCCUGUGGAUCAAGCAGGUGUGAGACAAGCAGAGGGGAUGACAGUGACCAUAAGUACAUAGACACUAGCUGGGAGCCAUCUUACCUAAAUCUGUAUAUGGGCUGUUUUCCACAACUCUGGGUAGAGGAAGAAAACUCAUAAAGAGAAAGAAAAGACUGGGCACCAAACCUACACCUGCUCGUUUCCUUAGGAUAUGUUCGUGCAAACAAAAUGAACUUAAGAUUCCAAAUGACUUAAGGCUUUCUGCGUGCAACAUUCUAUUUGUAUUUUUCACAUCUAUGCUACAUCUAUUUAUCUCUGACAAAAUGUUAUUAGGAAAAGGCAGGAGAGCUGAAUUAACCAAGCUAAUUGAUCAUUAAGUAUAAUCGUCCAUUAAGUACAAAUUUCCAUUUAUAAUCUAUUUCUUCCAAGAGGAUUUCAAUUAUUAGAUUGCUGUAUUGAUAUGCUGAGGAGGUAAUCGUUACAUGUAUAAACAAACAAUAUAAAUUUCCACACGAGAAAGAGAAGAAUAUUGAUCAGUUAUGCAUAUUGUCAGGAAAUCAUCUAGAAGGGUGAAGACAGGCACGAGACUAAAGAGGGGUGAGUCUCAUCUCAAAACCUAUCUGCCACCUCUUGGCAUCUUCUCAAUGGUUUCAGGACAUGACCCCAUGCUGUGUUCAAUGGUUCAGCCGUGUGUAUUCGGAAAAGUGACUUAACUCCUGUGAUUCUCCAAUGUCUCUUUCAUAAGCAACAGGUAAUGCCGAGACCCAUCUCGAAGGGUUUCUGGCAGAAAUAAAAGAAUUAAACUUGGAACCUUCUAGAAACAUUCUUGGUGCCCCAUGAGCCUGUGAACAUCUUCAGGAGCACGGAGCGCAACGUCCAGCCUCUGGCCUCACUCUCCAGCAUCCCCUCUCCCUGUUCUCUCAGCACAGGCAGGCUGUAGACAACAUGAAGGUCCUGUCACACUCUCAGCUCUCAUGAUCUUACUUUUCCUGCCUUUCCAGGCUUCUUUUCUGUCUGGAAUGAGGGCCCCACGCCUUUCUUGCUGAAUGUUUCUCCUGGAGAGGGAAUAAAGAUUGCUAAUCCCCGC